UGGGGAAUAUUGGACAAUGGGCGCAAGCCUGAUCCAGCCAUGCCGCGUGUGUGAAGAAGGCCUUCGGGUUGUAAAGCACUUUUGUUGGGGAAGAAAAGCAUCCGGUUAAUACCCGGGUGUCAUGACGGUACCCAAAGAAUAAGCACCGGCUAACUUCGUGCCAGCAGCCGCGGUAAUACGAAGGGUGCAAGCGUUACUCGGAAUUACUGGGCGUAAAGCGUGCGUAGGUGGUCUGUUAAGUCUGAUGUGAAAGCCCCGGGCUCAACCUGGGAAUGGCAUUGGAUACUGGCAGUCUAGAGUGCGGUAGAGGGGUGUGGAAUUCCCGGUGUAGCAGUGAAAUGCGUAGAUAUCGGGAGGAACAUCCGUGGCGAAGGCGACACCCUGGACCAGCACUGACACUGAGGCACGAAAGCGUGGGGAGCAAACAGGAUUAGAUACCCUGGUAGUCCACGCCCUAAACGAUGCGAACUGGAUGUUGGGGAC
rnacentral:rRNA from 1 species